rnacentral:rRNA from 1 species
GAUGAACGCUGGCGGCGUGCCUAAUACAUGCAAGUCGAGCGAACAGACGAGGAGCUUGCUCCUCUGACGUUAGCGGCGGACGGGUGAGUAACACGUGGAUAACCUACCUAUAAGACUGGGAUAACUUCGGGAAACCGGAGCUAAUACCGGAUAAUAUAUUGAACCGCAUGGUUCAAUAGUGAAAGACGGUUUUGUUGUCACUUAUAGAUGGAUCCGCGCCGCAUUAGCUAGUUGGUAAGGUAACGGCUUACCAAGGCAACGAUGCGUAGCCGACCUGAGAGGGUGAUCGGCCACACUGGAACUGAGACACGGUCCAGACUCCUACGGGAGGCAGCAGUAGGGAAUCUUCCGCAAUGGGCGAAAGCCUGACGGAGCAACGCCGCGUGAGUGAUGAAGGUCUUCGGAUCGUAAAACUCUGUUAUUAGGGAAGAACAAAUGUGUAAGUAACUAUGCACGUCUUGACGGUACCUAAUCAGAAAGCCACGGCUAACUUCGUG